UUUCGUAUAUAUUUUUCAGUUUUGUUUAUUUUCAACGUUUUUCAUCACAAAGAAAAAGAGACGCUGAAAAAAUAAAACGAUUACAAUUAAAAAAAAUCAAAAAUAAUAAUCGUUUUGAGAAAUUUCAAAUUUAUUAGGUUCUGCGCAGUGCGCAUGCGCGGGUCCGAAUUCCAAAAGGAUGAAUCAUCACGCCAUUUCCACUUUUUUAGCCACUGUUUUCAAUAUUUUUCAUGAAAGAAAUGAAAUCCAGCGUGUAUGAUUUGGCUAUUUUCUACUAUAAAGCGUUUGUUCUCAGUUUUUUUUAUGAGUUUUUUAAUUAUUUAAUCCUUUAUUCUCAUAUUUAUGCUGGUGCGGUUCAACAAGACGUGUAUUGCGUCAGUUUCCUUGAGUUUUGUUCAACGAAUUCCGGCGUCGAGCUGAUAGCGGUGCGGUAUAACCAUAGUACGUACGCUCGUGACGGUUAUGAGUUGCUUCCUAUUGUUCUUCUAUUAAGAAAAUCGCAGAUUAAAUGCAUUUCGGUGAGCUCCAGAGCAGGUGGUCGGCUGGUCACUUCGUGCAUCUUGUUUUAAAGUUACUGUUAGGGCUUACGGCUUACGGCGAACGCGAAGUACCUACGUUCAGAGGUUAUAUGUAUUCAAUAUUUUGUUCCGUAGAUGUGUUAGUUUUCUUUUAAAGCUAACAUUUCGUCACUCAUGAGUGUUUUAUUAUUAUAAUCUUAGUUUCUAUUGUUGUACCUAUUCUCGUCGAAUGUGGAAGUUUACUUACACUGUUCGUACUACGAAUUAAUGAAUUUUAGCUAACUAAUUGCUGCGAGAUGAGAUGAUGAAUAUUUCUUGGUUAAGUAUCCAUUUCAAUCAACGGCGUUCGAGUGGAAAUCGAAUGCAGCUUACCUAUACUCGAUCAACGUAAAUUGUUUUUACUCAUAGACGUUUCCUCUUUCUUGUAGUUUGAGUGCAUUUUGAUUGUAUGGUUUUGUCGAGACAAGUUUCUUCGUUUUAUUGUCUUUUUUUUGGUUUUGAAAAUGUGUGUGUGUGUUUACUGUUUACCUACUUCGUUUACGCUUCUGUGGGCUUUAAUCUCAUUUAGUUUCUUAAAUAGAUCUGAGAUACAUUACAUAUUACGUUUUGAAUUAAGAUAUAGCUACUGUUUUACCUAUUUUCCUACUUUCCUGUCGUAACACGUAGAUAUAUGCAAGGACGUAUUGUUUAUUGUUUUUUUUCUUUUGUUUGGAUAUGAAGUGUCAACUCCAGAUGUGAACUUAUUGAAAGAUUAAUGAAGUAAAAUGAUUAAUCGAAGAUGAUUUGCGCUUCUAACUACUACUGACUGCAUGGUGUGAAGUAUACCUACGUAUGGGAUGUCGACAAUAUUUAUGUUGAAUUAAUAGAAGAUCAACGAAAAAUUCCAAUAUCGAAGAUGCACCUUUCUGCUGCCCAGCUCUAUGCAUGUUGAUCAUUUUUGCUAGCAUCGCCGUUGGUUAUCUAUUUGCAAUUGGAAUAGAGCUCAGAAUAAUCCCAUUCGAGUUGAACCUUGCGAAUUGCGAUACGUGAUCCUGCACCGACUCUAGUGAACAAUAGCAUCGAUGUGACCGCCUGCUACAAUCUACAACGUGAGGAUGGUCAAUACCCACAGCAAAUGUUUGCAAAUGUAUCCGCUGAGACUGCUGUAUUUCGUUUAAUUCGUGUGCCGGAAAUACCCGAGAAUUUUGAAUUUCCACAACAUCAAAGACGAAAACACGCAACAUAAUAUGUCAAAGUGCAGUCCGUUGAAAAGCCUCAGUAAAUCAUUCUAUUCAUUUGAAUUUUUUAGAUGGCUUUGUGAGAAAUGAAGAUUGAUAUAUCGGUUUCGGUACCUUAGAAUAAUGCUGUGAUUGCUGUAAAAUCUCAAUCAAGCUUCGAAGUGCCACGUCUGCAGUUUCGUGAUAUUGUAGGAUCAGAAAUUUAUUAACGAUGGCUUUGCGAAGAACGAAGAGCGGUGUCGCGAUUGCUGUAAAAUCUCAAUCAAGCUUCCAAAUGCAGAGAUUGCAGUUUCGUGUUAUUGUAAGAUCAGAAAUUUAUCAACGUCUAGGUACGUUGAAGUGAAACGCUAUUUUAUUUUGGUGCAUUCGAUGGGGAAAAAAAUGAAAAACAACCCACCCUAUGACGUACUGGUCAAAGCUUGUUUGAAUAAUCGAUUUCUCAUCGUUAGAUUGAAGACAGUGAUGCUGUGGAAUUUUUAUUUGGAUCCUGACAAACGUACCACUAGAAUUGAAUAGAUAUCAAUGAUAUCAUGUUUCGGAAGAUAUGGAUAAUUCACUGUAAUUACUUGAUGGCUUUGUGAAGAAUGAAGAUUGAUGUACGGUACCUUAGGCUUAGAAUAAUGCUGCGAUUGCUGUAAAAUCUCAAUCAAGUUUCGAAGUGCUGCGAAUGCAGUUUCGUGAUAUUGUAUAGGAUCAGAAAUUUACUAAAGACGAUAUUUGCAAAAUGAAGUCGUUGUGCGAAUUGUCGUUUUCCCGAGUGAAGAUCGUCAGCGAUGGGCAGCAACAUUCCGAUGUACGUAGCCUUGAAUGAUCGUUUUCUAUCUCGAAGCUGAUGUGGACAAUCAACAAUUCAGCAGUGCUCACUGGGUCACUCAUUACAAGAGUCAUGGUCCAGCAUCCAGCGAUCUUCAACUCUUGCAGUAGUCUUCGUCUUCAGCACCUCAGCCUGUGAAAUGUAUGGAUUAGAUGAUGAAAAUCGCUAUCGUAUUAUUCGAUUUUUAGUACAAACCCCUUUCCCUUCCCCCUCACGAAUGGUUUGUUUGCCCCCACCCUCGUUACUGUGAUUGGUAUCUCUAUUUUUAGUAUGUUGAUAAGUUCGAAAUGUUAGGUAAUAAGUUGAUAAUUUUGAACCCCCCCCCCCCCCCUCAUCACACAAAUAUGUAGCUUGUUCCGUGUGUUACUAUAGGUAUUUUUGUUUUUUCAAAAUUUCAUCGAACAUUGAGCUUCUUUUUGGUGGCUAUUUAGUUUAAUAUCGUACCAGUUGCGAAUCAAAAACAUUUUUUCUACUACAUUCGCAUGUAGUGCUGGUGAUGAGUGUAUCUGUGUGCAUAUUGAAAUGGUAUCGAGGUUAGGAUGUUUGCAGGUAGUGUGCUGGUGGUGAGUUAUGUUGUAGGGGAUGCGGUUGUGGCCGGUCUUGUUAAGUGCUGUCAGUGCUGUCCGUUCUCGCCUGUUAGUACAUCAACCCACAACCGUACUUUUUCCACUGUUUCACGACAACUUGGCGGCGUGAUCCCUUGAAAAUUUUACUUUCUGAUAGUAUGGCCCCUACCUUAGCCAUUUGUGUAGUUCUGCAUCCGCGUAUCCACGUACGUACUCGCGCGGCGUAUCGUGGAGUCCACUGUUUUCGGCUGGUACGGAGCUGAUGAGCUGGUUGUAAGUCGAAACGCAUGUACGGUUCACGGGCUCUCGCUCAGGUUCCGUCAUAACGUUUGGUUUAGCUUUGCGGCCAACAUGUGGUCCAAGCCGUAUGGUGCUGGGGGAGCGUCAUUCGGCAACUUGUCUGCUAUCGUGCUACGGCGCAGCGGCCUGCUCAAUGGUGGCGUAGUCCUCUGGCUCACGCCUGCGACGCUCAGUGGGGUCGUCCUUACGGCGGCUUCGACUAUAUACCCAAGUCACAAUAAGGGGUUGUCGUAAGAGGUAAGGUUACGACUCAUACGGCGGAAACGUUUGCGUUCCAUCUAGUGGUUGUGAGCCGUUGGAUUGACCAGCUCACACUGCAAACCUCACUUUCGGGCUGAUAAAGAUGUGAGCGGGGAUGGUUAAUAUCAGCCUAUCCUGUGUAACGAUUAUUGCCAUUUGCCUGCCGUCGAUUAUCAGUCCUGCCUUUAUUGUGGAUCCCCAGAGAUUCGUCUCUCCGAUCCAACCACACGCAGUAAGUGGUGCACUCUAGGUUUUUGCAACACUUGCUCGCGUGAGAGUGAGUUGAGUUUUUUUUUUAGUGAAAUUUCAAAGGCUGACCUGGUUUCGUUGCUAGUGUCAACACUAAUUACUAGAGACUAAAGAUACUUUUCGGCAUCGUGUACUGUCGAGUGCUUUCGGUGAUGCUCGUUUGACUUGUCUCUGUGAAAAUGAAAUAUUUUCCUUAUCAAAUAUGAAACUCAUGUUUCUUUUUUGUUCAAAUCUUUUUCAUAAUCAUAAUUUCACACGAAUAUAUGUAUUUUAACGAUAAAAUUUGUAUUUAUUUUCUUUUCAAUUUAAAUCUGUUUUAGUGCUUUGUAAUUUCGUUGACAGUCUUGUUAGUUGUUAGACAAACAACUUCAACUUGGUUUGGUUUCCAAAUGUUACAAAAUAUUAAGAAAAAAACUGUGAUGAUACUUUUGAUAUCAAUUUUGAAGAAAUAAAGAAAUGUAAAACUCUGAUAGAACUGAUAGAACUAGAAGUGUAAAAAUCUAAUGAGAUUGACAGGUGCUCACCGGGCAUUUAAGCCAAAGAACAAAGAAUAUUAUAAGAUAUCUAAGUAUCUACGAAGAAGAAAUCGUAAUUCGUAACCAUUUUUUGUCAUAAUGCUACUUUUCGACAGUCAAGUCUCGUGUUUCAUUUUAUUCCAAAACAAAGAUGAAAGAACAAGUACCAAUGUCCAUGUCCAAUGUCGAGUCAUGUUUAAUUACAAAUUUCAAUUAAAAAAAUAAUACGUAAAAGUUAGUUUAAUCUGUUUAAUAUUCGAAUAUUACAAUAAAAAUUAAUAAUCUCGUCAAUAGGAACAGGGAACUUGAAUCAUUGCAAAGAAUAAAGUCAAACGAGCGUAGCCGAAAGCACUCCAUAGUGCACGAUGCCAAGUAAUUAGUUCUGUCUACUUGCCAGGCAGGUGAGCGUGUGUGUGUAGCGAGUAUGGUGAUCUGGACUGUGUAUGAUGUCUGGUUGUAAAUUGAAUUUAAGUUUUUUAAAAUUUUUUAUGGGGUAAUUAGUUAGAUUUUUCGAUACGAGCUGCAAUAUUUUGAAAAUUCCGCCGCGUUGAAAUGGAAAACAUCGUUGAAAAUGUCGAAAUUUCGUAAUUCGAGUAAAUUCGCGAUGAUAUGAACAGGAAGGAUUCUUUUUCGAGGUUUACAAACGUGUAUUUCUGGAAAAAAAAUCAAAUUUCGAAAGUCAAUUUUAACGUACAGUUUUUAUGGAUACCUUUACCUAUUUUGAAUUUUUGUACCAAAUUUUCCCACCCCUCCUCUUGUUUUUAUUAGCCAGGUAAUUUUUAUUAUAAUUGGGUGCAUUUUUUUUCGUUCAUACGGAAAUGUUAAUUAAGUGCAAAAAUAUUAAAAUAAUCGAAAUUUUAAUGACCCCCCCCCUUCCCCUCCUCCCGCGCUUCCGAGCCCUACCUACCUAUACCGAAUUUGUUUUAUUAUUGUUGAAUUUAUUAUAAUAUGUAUUUGUACUUGAGAAUAAGUUUGUAAUCUUUGUUAUUUUAUCAUUAUUGAUUUGGUGCACCGAUAUUGUAUUUAAUUAUCAACAAUUUAUGCGGUGUUUGUUGUA